UACGGAGGGUGCAAGCGUUGUUCGGAUUUACUGGGCGUAAAGCGCGCGCAGGUGGGUGUACAAGUCGGAAGUGAAAUCUCGAGGCUCAACCUCGAGGCUGCUCCCGAAACUGUACGCCUAGGGACUGGUAGAGGCUGGUAGAAUUCCCAGUGUAGCGGUGAAAUGCGCAGAUAUUGGGAGGAACACCAGCGGCGAAGGCGGCACUCUGGGCUGGUACUGACGCUGAGGAGCGAAAGCGUGGGUAGCGAACAGG
rnacentral:rRNA from 1 species